UACGUAUGGUGCAAGCGUUAUCCGGAAUGACUGGGUGUAAAGGGAGCGUAGACGGUUGUUCAAGUCUGAUGUGAAAGCCCUCGGCUUAACUGGGGGAGUGCAUUGGAAACUGAAGGACUAGAGUAUCGGAGAGGCAAGUGGAAUUCCUAGUGUAGCGGUGAAAUGCGUAGAUAUAUGGAAGAACACCAGUGGCGAAAGCGGCUCUCUGGUCUGUAACUGACGCUGAGGUUCGAAAGCGUGGGUAGCAAACAGG
rnacentral:rRNA from 1 species